rnacentral:lncRNA from 1 species
AAAAAAAGACAAAAGAAAUUGGGUAUUAUCAAAAUGAAAACUUGUGUUUCAUGUUUAUGAAGAAAGUGAAAAGAUAACCCACUGAAUGUGAGCAAAGGGACUUGCAUUUAAAAUGUAUGAAGACCUCUUACAAUUCAAUAGUAAAAGACCGCUCCAGUUUAAGAUGAGCAAAGACUCUAAACAAAUAUUUCCUUCAAGAAAAUACCCAAUCAGAUUCGUUUUCUCUGUACCACAAUGGGAACUCUGGGACAGAGAUUCUACUUUUGAAAAUUUCUAGAAAGCUCCUUUAGUGUUGGUCUUCAUUGAAAGGAGCACCCCCCCCCCAGGGCAGAUGACUAUUUUUUCCCUUUUCUGUUUUUGGAACUUUUCUGAAUUCCAAACUUACACAAAAAGGCAAGGAUAAAACCAGGAAGUUCUGUGUACCCUUUACCCAGCUCCCCAGCUGUUUACAUUAGGGCUGAUUAUCAUUGAUCAGCUUCCUAAAAGAAAACGGAAAAAGAAUGAACCAGAUAUGAUUUCUUCCCUAGUCUGAAAUCCCGCAGCUUCUCUGUACGUUUAGGCCUGUUUUUGUGUGUGUGUGUGUGUGUGUGUGUGUGUUUCUUUUUUUACUCUGUCUUGUAUUUGUUUAUGUACUUAUCUCAAGCAAUAUUUAAUGUUGCAGCCUCUGGAACUCCCAGUGCGGAGCUAGUGAGAACCUAGUAAGUGGUUGAAUGCGAUUAUAAUUUUGCUUAUCAAAUUCAGUUUCUCCCAUUCACCCGUUCUAUAAGCCAUGUCUCAUGUUUCUUCUGCGUGUGAGGCUGCAAAAGUCAGUGAAGAGAUUUCGGCGAGAGGAGAGAGUCAUGGUGCCGCACCCCCUUGCUCUGGGUGGCCUGGGGUCAGGAAAAGGGAGGAAGGUGAAGCACUGGAAGUGGCUGGGCAGGACCGGAAGUGGUUGAGCGGGAGAGCUUUGCUGCGGAGGUGGUACCCUGCAGGUGGGCAGAGUGUGGACAGUCCCUUCCUCCCCCAAGGGGGGGUUGGGUUUCUUUCUUUCUUUUUUUUCCGCCGUGCCCACAGCAUGAGGAAGUUCCCAGGCUAGGAACCCAUGCUACAGCAUUGACAACGACCAGAGCCGCAGCAGUGACCACAGCAGAUCCUUAACCCUCUAGGCCACCAGGGAACUCCCCAGAUUUUUAUUUUAAACAAAUUAUUGAGAUAUUCACAUUACACACAGUCCUGUCUUUUAAAGUGUAAAUUCAGUGGUUUUUGAUAUAUUAUUAGGUUUUUUUUUUUAAUUUGUGGUAAAAUAUAUGAGACAAGAUUUAUGACUUUAGCCUUUUAAAAUUAAAAAAAAAUUGUGGUAAAGUUGACAAAACAUAAAAUUUAAUAUUAGCCAUUAAAAAUAGCAGUUAAUAGGAGUUCCCGUCGUGGCUCAGUGGAAACAAAUCUGACUAGCAUUCAUGAGGACACAGGCUCAAUCCCUGGCCUCACUCAGUAGGUUAAGGAUCUGGUGUUGCUGUGGCUGUGGUGUAGGCCAGCGGCUACAGCUCCAAGUCAGCCCCUAUCCUGGGAACCUCUAUAUGUUGCGGGUGUGGCCCCACAAAGACCAAAAAAAAAAAAA